UACGGAGGGUGCGAGCGUUGUCCGGAAUCACUGGGCGUAAAGGGCGCGUAGGUGGCUCAUCAAGUGUGUGGUGAAAGCCCGGAGCUUAACUCCGGGUCUGCCGUGCAAACUGGUGUGGCUAGAGGACUGUAGAGGCAGGUAGAAUUCCGGGUGUAGCGGUGGAAUGCGUAGAGAUCCGGAAGAAUACCGGUGGCGAAGGCGGCCUGCUGGGCAGUUUCUGACACUGAGGCGCGACAGCGUGGGGAGCAAA
rnacentral:rRNA from 1 species